rnacentral:rRNA from 1 species
UUGAAGAGUUUGAUCAUGGCUCAGAUUGAACGCUGGCGGCAGGCCUAACACAUGCAAGUCGAGCGGUUGAGGAUAGCUUGCUAUCCAAAGCAGCGGCGGACGGGUGAGUAACGCGUGGGAAUCUACCUAGUAGAGGGGGACAACUCGGGGAAACUCGAGCUAAUACCGCAUACGCCCUACGGGGGAAAGGAGGGGAUCUUCGGACCUUCCGCUAUUAGAUGAGCCCGCGUUAGAUUAGCUAGUUGGUAGGGUAAAGGCCUACCAAGGCGACGAUCUAUAGCUGGUCUGAGAGGAUGAUCAGCCACAUUGGGACUGAGACACGGCCCAAACUCCUACGGGAGGCAGCAGUGGGGAAUAUUGGACAAUGGGCGAAAGCCUGAUCCAGCAAUGCCGCGUGAGUGAUGAAGGCCUUAGGGUUGUAAAGCUCUUUUACCAGGGAUGAUAAUGACAGUACCUGGAGAAUAAGCUCCGGCUAACUCCGUGCCAGCAGCCGCGGUAAUACGGAGGGAGCUAGCGUUGUUCGGAAUUACUGGGCGUAAAGCGCACGCAGGCGGUUUGUUAAGCUAGAUGUGAAAGCCCCGGGCUCAACCUGGGAAUAGCAUUUAGAACUGGCAGACUAGAGUCUUGGAGAGGGGAGUGGAAUUUCUGGUGUAGCGGUGAAAUGCGUAGAUAUCAGAAGGAACAUCAGUGGCGAAGGCGACUCCCUGGCCAAAGACUGACGCUCAUGUGCGAAAGUGUGGGUAGCGAACAGGAUUAGAUAC